CUUAGCCCUUAACAUAGACAGUAGACACACAAUACUGUCCGCCAGAGAACUACAAGUGAAAAACUCGAAACUCUAAGGACUUGGCGGUGCUCCAUAUCGACCUAGAGGAGCCUGUCCUAUAAUCGAUAACCCACGUUUUACCUUACCCCUUCUUGCAACUCAGCCUAUAUACCGCCGUCGCCAGCCUACCUUAUGAAAGAAACAAAGUAGGCACAACAGUUAACAACUAAAACGUCAGGUCAAGGUGUAGCACAUGAAGAGGAAGAGAUGGGCUACAAUCUCUACAACAGAGCACACGAAUGGCACAAUGAAACCUAUGCCUGAAGGCGGAUUUAGCAGUAAGCUCAAUAAGAAACUUCACCUGAAACCCGCUCUGGAGCGCGCACACACCGCC
rnacentral:rRNA from 1 species